ACUCCUACGGGAGGCAGCAGUGGGGAAUUUUGGACAAUGGGCGCAAGCCUGAUCCAGCAAUGCCGCGUGCAGGAAGAAGGCCUUCGGGUUGUAAACUGCUUUUGUCAGGGAAGAAAUCUUCUGGGUUAAUACCUCGGGAGGAUGACGGUACCUGAAGAAUAAGCACCGGCUAACUACGUGCCAGCAGCCGCGGUAAUACGUAGGGUGCGAGCGUUAAUCGGAAUUACUGGGCGUAAAGCGUGCGCAGGCGGCUUUGCAAGACAGAGGUGAAAUCCCCGGGCUCAACCUGGGAACUGCCUUUGUGACUGCAAGGCUAGAGUACGGCAGAGGGGGAUGGAAUUCCGCGUGUAGCAGUGAAAUGCGUAGAUAUGCGGAGGAACACCGAUGGCGAAGGCAAUCCCCUGGGCCUGUACUGACGCUCAUGCACGAAAGCGUGGGGAGCAAACAGGAUUAGAUACCCU
rnacentral:rRNA from 1 species